GCUAGCGUAGUGCAGUGGUUUGAAUAUUGGACUAGGACUCCAGGAGCCUAGGAUUUAAAUCCCUGCUCAGACA